rnacentral:rRNA from 1 species
CCUACGGGAGGCAGCAGUGGGGAAUAUUGCACAAUGGGGGAAACCCUGAUGCAGCGACGCCGCGUGAGCGAUGAAGUAUUUCGGUUUGUAAAGCUCUAUUAGUAGGGAAGAACAUGACGGUACCUGACUAAGCAGCCCGGGCUAAUUACGUGCCAGCAGCUGCGGUCAUACGUAGGGGGCAAGCGUUCUCCGGAUUUACUGGGGGUAAAGGGAGCGUAGACGGUUGUGCAAGCCAGUUGUGAAAGCCCGGGGCUUAACCCAGGAAGUGCAUUUGAAACUGUGUGACUGGAGUGUCGAAGAGGCAGGCGGAAUUCCGAGUGUAGCGGUGGAAUGCGUAGAGAUUAGGAAGAACACCAGUGGCGAAGGCGGCCUUCUGGUCUAUGACUGACGUUGAGGCUCGAAAGCGUGGGGAGCAAACAGGAUUAGAUACCCGUGUAGUC